rnacentral:lncRNA from 1 species
GUUUCUAGCAAGGUUUCCGGCUAGCUCUGGUGAGGUGGUUAUGUUACAAUUGUUUCUUGAUGCUAGGUGAAUACAAGUUUUUUGGUUGUUUUAUCUGAGUGGAUAAUUGCUUAUUGCUCUUGCAGAAUGGUGUAGGUGGUUUUAGGGUUCCAGUAACUUUCUUUUAUUUUUUGUUUUUGUGUCGUUUUUCUUUGUUCUUUGUGACCAUUGUUGGUGAUGAUGUUCGUUGUUGUGGUUUUUAACUUACUAAGACUUUUAAGAUGUUAUGGAACUGGUUUAUUUUUGCAAUCUGGCCAAACAAGUCAUGAAAUUCGGUAA